UCCGCACAGCGCCAGGAAUCAUGAUUCCCCAGGCCCCAGUGAAGAGGUUGGGUCAAAUGAAGCUCACAGAGGGUUCUCCGUUUUCCCAGGAUCCCCUAGCUAGUUAACAGAGAAGUGCAGCCCAGAACCCAUAUCCUCCACUUCUGAGUUACUGCCGGUGCCUUCAUGUGACACCACACCACAGAUACCAGCAGCACCAGAUCCCAGGCGCCAUCGUAGCUUUGUAAAGGGGCGGGGGGGGAUUUCCUAAGAUAUCUAACCACCAAAUCCUUUCAGCUAAAGGAGAAAACUCAAAGGCAAAAGAGUGUCAUUUGGCUUUUGCUACAGCUGGGCGAAACCUAGCAGGAAUGUCUUCCUUGGAGCUGGGUUUUCUUUCCUGUCUUUGAAGCGAGACAGCCCUCCUGCUGAAGACACGGCAAUGGAGACAGAAGAGAGAGGGGGAAGAGAGGGGACGGGAAGACACGAGAAACAGCCACGCGGGGUGUGCAACGAUGCCGCAUCCCUCAGGCGUCUGGCGACGAGCCAGUUCUCCUGAUGCUGAAACCCCGAACACCACCUUGCGGUAGUGACUCAAAUAAGGCAAACAGACUAAACAAGUGUGGCGUGACUCUCUCUUCAACAUAGAUUGAAGUGAACUGGUUUCUCAAGUGAACAGCAUCAAAGAACCGGCCUGAGGUCUUCUCAGUUAAUCUUGCUAAAGAUGGGUGAAGAAUACUCCAAAUGGAGAUUGCUACAAAAGCAACUGAUUUCCAAACUGAUUUGACUGUUUGUGGAGCUAGGAUCGCAGGGAGCACAUUUUAGGAAAUGUUGCCAAUGGAUUAUAACAGGACGUGGCUUUAUCCCUGACAGCAACCCUACCCCGGCAAGGUUUAACGUAGAAUCAAUUUUCUUUAAGGCAGAGAAACAAAUGAGAAAAUACCAGGCAGAGAGAAAUAACAAGUACUUGGCUGUAUACCACAGUAUUUGUCUGGGGGCCUCAAUUUUCUCACGUUGAGA